UAAAAAGCAUGGUAAUUCUGUUAUCUGAGACUGAGAAGGUAGAAAGAGGAGAAGGCUUGAGUGUGGGGAAAUUAUCCUGAGUUAAGUAUAGGAAGGCUGUGUUUGAGGUACCAAAGAAAUAUUCAUAGGGAGAGGCUCACCAGAUGUAACUUAUGGGUCUGCAGUUUAAGAGAAAGAUCAGGACUAAAGUCACAAAUUUGGGAGCUACAGGCAUGAAACUAACAGUUGAAAUGGCCAAAGUUGGGAUGGAAUAUAGAGCUAUAGGAGGUGAUUGCUGAGGACAAAGCCCCAGGAGGAAGGAAAGGAGACAAAGAAUAAAGAGACAAGGAGGUAGUUGGAUAACCAGGAGAGCAAAAUAUCCUGGAAGGUAUGGGCUUAAACAUGAAAGGGAUGGUUAGCUGUUGUAACUGAUGAGAGAAUGACAGGUAGAGACGCAGAGAAGGGCUACUGGCAAGUCUCCAGUGACCUUUGGGAGAUAAGUUUGGGAGAACUAGGGUAUACUCAGAUGGAAAAGGAUAGAAAAGUCAGUGGAAGGUGAGAAGUGGAUGCAGAAUGAAUGGAUUAAUGAUUGGAGAAACCGAGGUGAGAGAGUUAAGGGAGAGAUGAAGUAGGAUCUUGAUGGGGAAGUAGGGCCAGAGGAAGUUGAUUUUUGUGUCCAAGAGAUUUGAGUAAAGUAAUAGAUGAGAUUAAAGAGGAGUGGGGAGGAAAAGUGUUGAGAUAGAGAGGGAGAAAGGAAGGUGCAGAGGGAGGUUGGGUGUAAGAAGUAAGAUUCUAGUAAGGUUGAGAAGGGAUUGAUUGAAGGACUAAAAACACAGAGGUGGAAAGGAGGCAAAUCAAUGUCUUCUCCUUACAAAGAAGAGUGAAGAGAUGGGGAGAGGCUGUGGAUGAGAGACUAGGAGCAGAGGUUGAGAACGGUCACCUACUUAGGAGUAGGUGCAAGAAUGUACAAACUUUCAGUCCUCCUGCCCUCACUCUUGACUUUGUAAUGGUGUACUCCUCCAUGUGACUAUAGCAGUCACUCCUUCUCAGGCCACACCCAUGGCCUCAGGUCCCAUCUGCAGCCUCCUGGUCCCAGGGUAGAGUCUGG
rnacentral:lncRNA from 1 species